rnacentral:rRNA from 1 species
ACAGAGGAUGCAAGCGUUAUCCGGAAUGAUUGGGCGUAAAGCGUCUGUAGGUGGCUUAAAAAGUCUCCUGUCAAAGAUCAGGGCUUAACCCUGGGCCGGCAGGAGAAACUCUUAGGCUAGAGUUUGGUAGGGGCAGAGGGAAUUCCCGGUGGAGCGGUGAAAUGCGUAGAGAUCGGGAGGAACACCAAAGGCGAAAGCACUCUGCUGGGCCACAACUGACA